AAAGACUAUAAUAACUGUAAUAAUGAUUAUUAUAAUGAAUAUGGUUAAAAUUAUGUAUUCUUUGACAAAUCUAAUAAAACAAAAUAAAUCAAGUAAAGAUUUAUUAACAUACUAAAAUCUGAUCUUUGCAGUAAAUACUUGAUACUCAGAUUAUUUUGCUUAGAAUUUUAUAGGUUAGGAAACAAUAUGUUUUUGCUGCGCAAUUUAAAUAAACAAAGUGGUCAGGCAUCGCACGGACAGCUAUGUGGGGGUCUUUUAUCGUCACCAUGGAAACUGUUCUACAACGUUCAGUCUUUGGGCACAACCCCCUGAACAGAGCAAACACAAAACAUAUAAAGCUAACAAACUUUUUAAAAUAUAUACAAUGCACUUAAAUUGUAAGACUGUUAAUCUUCCUCUUUCACCAAAGUCGUAAAAACAAAAGUGAUUUGCUUAUUCCGAAACAACAACCUGAUGUUUCCUUCUUUUCUUUCAUUUAAUUUUACCAACACAAAACCAUACUUUACAAAAAAGGCUUUGUCCAGGAGACUGGAACAGAAUUUUCCUUAAGAAGAAAGAUAAAGAAAAGAAGUUGGUUGUUAAUGAGCUUACAGGUUCAGGAACUGAAACCUGAGGUUUACUGCAACAUCUUCAGUUGUGUAGUCAGUGCUCUCAGACUGUACAAGCCUCUUCUUCCUGUCGUCAUAAAAUGAAUAUG